AAGUUAGCUUCAAAUUGAAGGCAUAGAUUUAAAGGGACUUGACCUCAAGGAGUGUCCAUACAACAGAAGAGUCAAGAAACAUGCAAACACAAAUGGGAGUCUUGCUGGGCCUCCUGUGGAUACAGAUUUGCUGGGUAAGAGUACAGAUGAAGGUGGAGCAGAGUCCUAGGGUCCUGAUCCUCCAAGAGGGCAGAAAUGCCUCUAUGAUAUGCAAUUACUCUACCUCCAUGACCAGUGUGCAGUGGUUCCAACAAAGCCCUGAAGGACGCUUCACAUCCUUGUCGUACAUUGCUUCUGGAAUGCAGCAAAAAGGAAGACUAAAAUUCACCGUCAAUAUCAAGGAACGUAACAGCCACCUGUAUAUCACGGACUCCCAGCCUUGGGACUCAGUCACUUAUUUCUGCGCUGAAGGCAGCCAAGGAAGGCUCAUCUUUGGAAAAGGCACUCAACUCUCUGUUAAACCAAAUGUCAAGGAGCCUGACCCCGCUGUGUACCAGCUGGGAGGCUCUAAGUCCAAUCAGAUCUCAGUCUGCCUGUUCACCGACUUUGAUUCUGAAACCAGUGUGCAAGAACCGCAGGGGCCUGCGGUGAUCAGCUUGAACAGUACGGUGCUGGACAUGAAGGUGAUGAAUUCCAAGAGCAACGCGGCCCUGGCCUGGGGCAACAGCACCGAUUUUAAAUGCAAUGGUACCUUCAAUGAGAAAUUCUUCUCCAGCUCCGACUUUUCCUGUGAUGCCACUUUGAUAGAGAAAAACUUUGAAACCGAUAUGAACCUAAACUUCCACAACCUGAUAGUGAUCGGGCUGCGCAUCCUCCUCCUGAAAGUGGCCGGGUUUAACCUGUUGAUGACGCUGCGGCUGUGGUCCCGCUGAGGUCACCAAGACCGUGAGAGAGCCCGGCACCCCCUCGCUCCCGACUCCCCACCCUACCUGCCUCCCCAGAGAGGCAGACUCUCUGCCCCCGUGGACAAGAAGGCUCCCUCCGCUUCUCUGGCCCCACUGGCAACAGCCAUCAACUGGAUCCCACCAGAUAGUCAUGAUCAAGAUGCUGAAGAGCUGCCGAACACUGCCUCCGCCCCCUCGGUUCCCUCCCUGCUGCUUGUCACGGGCCGGACACUCCGGCGAAGGCAGGGGGCUGCUACGGAGAGACACCCUGCCCCUACCCUGAGACCAACUCUUCCGUCCCCGGGGUGAGGGAUCCCCGGCGGGUCCUCUUGGCCUCUGCCUCCUGGAGAACAUUGUGAGGAGUUUGUAUUUUUUAAAUAGUGUUCAUCAGGAAAUAUGUAUCACCCUUUUUCCCCAAGAUGUGGGGGAAAGUAUUAUGGAGGCCCUGCUGUGCUGUGUGUCUGAGCCACGUUGUAUAUUCUGCUGCCCAUGGCUUCAUUAAAGGCAAUUUGAAAGAGC